rnacentral:sRNA from 1 species
AUGUACCGCUCGUACAUCCCGGUGAGUGCCCCGGCCACGCCCGCCUGACCAUCGCUCGCGACGGUUUAUUCGCC